rnacentral:rRNA from 1 species
GCCCUACGGGGCGCAGCAGGCGCGAAAACUUUACAAUGCGGGAAACCGUGAUAAGGGAAUCUCGAGUGCCAGCAUAUAAUGUUGGCUGUCCAGAUGCCUAAAAAGCAUCUGUUAGCAAGGGCCGGGCAAGACCGGUGCCAGCCGCCGCGGUAACACCGGCGGCCCGAGUGGUAACCGCUUUUAUUGGGUCUAAAGGGUCUGUAGCCGGCCAAGUAAGUCCCUUGGGAAAUCUGGCAGCUUAACUGUCAGGCUGCUAGGGGAUACUGCUAGGCUUGGA